GCCUCUACGCGCCUCUUGCCAACCAAUGCCAACGUUUGUGUCUCUUCGUUCAAGUUGUCUGUUCUCACGACAGACGCCAUUUGCACUGGAGAGAAACGGGUCGGUCUCCGUCUGUCAUGACUUCCCGCUGCCAGCUGGCCGGCCAUAUCGGCGUCUGACUUGCCCGCGCCUUCAAGACGGCACGUCAACAGAGCUAUGCAAGUGUCGAAAGCUACGACUUUGACGAAUUUCAAGCCCGCUCUCUCAAGACAAGUUGUUGGCUCCUUCGCUCGACGCCUAGUCUGAAUAGGGGAGACGCAUGUAACCCAUGGUGCACGUCGCAUCGGUACAGACGAUUACGCAUGAGAAUAAGAAGCGGUACGGCGGGUUGGAAACUAGGUACCUACCUCUCAACUGAUGGGAUAUGGGUUGGGCGGACAACAGGAUGGGUUGUAGGUGGUGAUGUUGAAAGGCUUACAGCAUGAACUCUUCUCACUUAGACCCAUGGAGAACCGUCAACAGCAUCGACACUAGGAAACUCUCUCAUCGAUGGCGACUCUCGUCUUCCGCAACGCAAGUCUCAGCUGGUCCCAGGACACCAGUAUCCUCGGCACUUCUCGGACUGCCGUGCUUCAACGGCGUGACAUCGGCCCAUCCUUGAGCAAUAUAUCCCACCGAGCAGACUUGGUUCGAGAAGAAACGAACAUGUGGAUUCUCCCAAGUUAUCCGCAAGCGUUCAUCUAGAUUUCUACAAAGUAUUUUCCACCACAUCCAACAUCAUGAACGCCAAAAAGACCGGUCAUGAGCAAAGGUAGCCAACUUCACACACAAAUACUCAACCCGAGACUGCAGCUAGCUCAAAUUGCAAGUGAACCUAGCGAGUGUGGUCUAUGAUCAUCCUG